GUCGCUAGGAGACCUCCAGCUAGCAGUCUCACCCACCUCCAUCCAGGUACGAAGGCCUAGACAAAGUCAUCAGCACUGCUGCUAGGAGACCUCUAUCUAGCAGUCUCACCCACCUCCAUCCAGGUUGUGGAAGACGGCAGGAGAGUUGAGAUAGGUUGGUCAGACGGACACCUGGGUACCUACCCAGCCUCCUGGCUCCACCAAUGUGCAUUCAAUACUCACCAUCUCAACCUCAGAGCCGAAACAGUAAGGAUGAAACAGAAG